UUGCUGGUUCUUGCUUGCUGUUUGCAGCCGCCAUGAACUGCGGCCCAGCCAUGCCUGCCUGUCUUGGAGCCAACUGAGUGUGGACUGAAACCUCCAAAAACUCUCCAGUGGUGGACGCCCAGGUUGCUGUCAACCCCGGACAGUGCAGGGAUGGACAGCACCGCGUGACCCCUGUGGGCCGUGUGGACUCGGCCUGGAGACUCGCUAGGACCGCUGGGUCCCGGGGUUGGGUCAUUUCACCGAAUCCCGAGCCUCUGCAGAACGACCGCACUGCUCUCCUCCUGGCAGCAAUUGGGAGGCUUCCUUUGCCCCGCAGCCCAUAGUCAGCGUGGCCUUGUUCAGUUUGCUAUGUCUGCCAGUCCAACAGGGAUCCGGUGACAUCUCUGUUGUCCCAUUCCGCGUGCUCUCUGAGGACUGUUCUAAGUCAUGGUGCCUUGUAUCUGUGUGACUCUCCGUGGCUUUUUUUCUCUUACGGAUCCUCACUGAAAAUGUUUCCAGGCCCUCUUCAGAGCCCUGCGAGUACCAUCCGGGCUUCUCAUCUUGUUUGUUAUCAUCAUCCGUGACACUCACGUGAAAUCAGGUAACUAAGCCUCCCCCAGUCGUCAACUUGCACACGAAGGCGUUAGAACUUCAGACAGGCUACUGUCAGCAAGACUUUUGCUACCACAGCAUCUAGUUUAUUUUUAAUUGCAAUAAAUAAUUUAAAGUGGUAAAAGUUUAAAUCAACAUGUGUGGGGCACUGCACUCGAGAAGGAAAACCAUUCCUGGCCAAGAUCUUCGGCUUGGGAAAUCAGGGGCAUCCUGCCUUUCUCACAGAGGAGAGAUGGACCGAGGUUGAGAGUUACCUACGCUUGUGUCCAUGAAUUAUCUGUGCCUGUGAAUCUGUGUGAUUCUGAGAGGAGACUCAGACCUAUGCUGUGGAAGAUAUUGGUUUAAGCAUAAGCCUAUAAUUCUACCACUCUGGAAGCUGAGGCAGGAGGAUCUCAAGCUUGAGGCCAGCCUGGACUAUAGUGAAAACUUUGUCUCAAAAAAGAAAAAAGAAAGAAAGAAAAGAAAAAAGAAAGAGAAGGAAAGAAAGGAAGAAAGAAAAGAGAAACUAAAAAAGAAAUUCACUCGAAAGUAGAAUUUGGGAAGCCAAUCAUAUAACAAACCAAAUCAGAUAUGAUGCAAAUUUUUAUAAGAACUUAAACUUUUCCAGCAUUUGAGUAUCAUACUAAGAUCCUGUGCUGAUGCCACUACAGGCUGACAGCACACAUCAAGCAGGGUCAACAGGAAGCCUCAUAAGCCCCACGGGGGAAAUUCUCCUAGAGCCAGGUCUGUGGUCAGAUUUGCUUUUAGAGUUUCUGGAACUCUGGUCACGCGAAGUCCCAGAAACUGUUUGCAAGUAUGAACCACGAGUCUCUCUGGUCUUCCUCUCGCUGUAUUUCCAUCCUGGUGCUUCCUGAGUUCUUCCUCCUCCUCCUUCUGCUCCAGCCUGAUCUGCUAGUGGCCAGAGUUCGCUACAAAUGAACUACACCUGACAAGAACAGUUUGCUGCUUUACCCCCACCAGCUCUCACGCAUCCAUGGGGUAGAGAAGAAUGGGCUGUUGCAGUUUUAGAAGAUUGGUCUGUUGGCCCACUCCACUUUUUUUGGUGUGAAGGAGGAUUGAGCCCAGGGCCACUAUGUAUAGCUAGGCACUCUGCAUAUUCUGCAAUUUGCACAAAAUAUCCCCCAAGAAGCACUGUUGGGGACUCAACACAAGCUCUGUGUCUCCUCUCAGACUGAGUUUUUCUGGAAGAAGGAGCAGCAUAAAGAUGUCUGGGCCACCAGAGGUCCCACAGAUCAGGGUUGGAUCUGGAAAGGCCAGACCCAAGGCUCAGGAAACGAUGAGAAUGGUCUGGGGCUGCUGGUCUGCCCUCAACACUAGAUUCCCUGAGCACCCUGCAGAAAUGUUGGGCGUGUGAAGUUCCCUAAAGGUAGCACAUGAGAGUCUUCUAAUCCUGAGGGAAAAGGCUACAUUAAUGGUGGCAUUAGGCUGAUAUGUUGCCUCGCACCUAUAAUCCCAGCUCUGGUGAGGCUGAGACAGGAGGAUUUCCGGAGCUUGAAGUCAGCCUAGGUUACAUAGCAAGACCCUGUCUCAAAAAAACCAACAUAAAAAAAUUAGUGGUGGGGUGUAGGAAGGAUUCUGUCUCCCGACAAUGGGGCACUUGGCAAUGUCUGGAGAUAGUCUUGGUGGUCGUGAUGGGGCUGCUACCAGUGCAGGAGAAGCUAAAGACUCCCCUGCAAAAGACGAUCAGAGCCAGAGAUCAAAAGUACCACAGUUAGAAACCCUGACUGCAAGGUCACAAGAAUGAGUGGCCUCUGUCGCAUGUGGAUAAGAAUGUGAUGUUGUUGUAAUCUUACAUUCUCGAAGAGCCAGCUGUGUACUUUAGUUUAGAUUUUCCUUUGCACUAAGGGCUCUUGCCCUAUCCCAUCCCAUCCCCAAUCCGCUCUCAUUUCCACCAGACCCUCCCUAUUCAUGGCCUGGAAGAACAAAAGCUCAAAAGCAACUUGUACAUGUUUGUGUGAGUGUCACAGAUAUGUGCUGAUGGGUGUGAGAGAAAAACAGAGACAAAAAGACCAGAUAGGAAAAACAAAAGUGAAAAAGUCCCACCACUGUAUGAUUUUGAUAUAACAGGUUCCCCCAAAGUCUCAUGUGUUUGGGAUGUGACUGGGUCUUGGGGCGCUGGGCUCAGCAGUGGAUUCAUCUGUUUUAUGAGCUCCUGGCUGAAUGUGCUGUUAGGAGCUAGGGCUGAGGUGGGUCUCGGCCUCAUGCCCUGGAAGAGCUGACUCUUGUCCCUGGCUCUGCCCUUCUCAGUCUGCUGCCCAGCUGUCCUCUGCCAGGGCCCCUCUCACCCUGUGGUUUCUGCCUUGGACCCAGCAAACUUUGGCCUAAAUUCACCGGAAACUGCAAGCCAGCUAAUCCUCUCCUGUAGGCUGUGGGUGUGAGGUAUUUUGUCCCAGCCAAACAGGAAUGUGACUAAUAACAACCACCUACCACAUAGCAGAGUCUGGCACAGACUGCAGCUAUACACGAGGCAGAGUCACUGUCCCCAGUGAGCCCACCAUUUCCCCAGUAGAAGGCAGCUGCAAGUGUGUGGGGAAAGUGGAAAGCCUGUCAUACAAUCAUAGAGAGUAAACAGAGAGGGUGGGUGGCCUUUCUGCCAGGCACCCGGAGAGGUGGCCAGUGAGAUGAAGGGGGAAGACAAGGUGACAAGUGAGGAGGGCAUUGCAGGAGGAGGAGGCUGGUUGGUGAACAGGGGUGGGAGUCAGCAGAGAGCUGCCAGGUGAGGAUGCACGGUGGGAUUGCAUCAGUGCAAGAUGAGGGUGAAAAGGAUACUUUAGGACCCACGCAGCCCCAGGGCAGGACAGGACCACAGAACCAUGCUGGGGACCGUGUACCUGGGGGACUGCUGUCUAACACUUGCUCAGCCAUCUCCAGCUCUGCUCAGAUGUUGCCUGCUCUGUGAGCCCUGUUCCUGUGAUUUUCAUGUUUCUGUCCCCUCCUGAGCUAAUGCUGAAUCUUUACCCCCAGUGCAACAGUUUUAGGGGACGAGUCCUUUAGGAGGUGACUUGGUCAUGAGAGCUCUUCCUGCAUGGAUGGCAUUCAUGCUUUCUAAAAGGGCAAAAGGAACUAGCUAGGACAUGUUUGUCCUUCUGUCCCUCCCACUAUGAGAGGACACAACAGGCAUCACCCCUGCUGGAUGCAGCAACAAAGCACUGUCAGGAGCAGCAAGUGGUCUCCAACAGACACUGGACCUGCCAGCUCUGCCACUGGACUUCCCAGUCCCUAGCUGUGAGAAAUAAAGUUCUGUUCUGUAUAACUUA